CCUACGGGUGGCAGCAGUGGGGGAUAUUGCACAAUGGGGGAAACCCUGAUGCAGCGACGCCGCGUGUGGGAAGACGGUCCUCUGGAUUGUAAACCACUGUCCCCAGGGACGAAGAUGACGGUACCUGGGGAGGAAGCUCCGGCUAACUACGUGCCAGCAGCCGCGGUAAUACGGAGGGAGCGAGCGUUGUCCGGAAUUACUGGGUGUAAAGGGAGCGUAGGCGGGACUGCAAGUUGGGUGUCAAAUCUACGGGCUCAACCGGUAGCCGCACUCAAAACUGCAGUUCUUGAGUGAAGUAGAGGCAGGCGGAAUUCCUAGUGUAGCGGUGAAAGGCGUAGAUAUUAGGAGGAACCCCAGUGGCGAAGGCGGCCUGCUGGGCUUUUACUGACGCUGAGGCUCGAAAGUGUGGGGAGCAAACAGGAUUAGAUACCCCAGUAGUC
rnacentral:rRNA from 1 species